ensembl:rRNA 5S_rRNA 5S ribosomal RNA
AUCUACAGCCAUGCCACCCUGAACAAGCCCAAUCUCAUCUGAUCUUGGAAGCUAAGCAGAGACGGACCUGGUUAGUACUUGGAUGGGAGACCACCUAGGAAGACCAAGUGCAGUAAGCU